GCAUGUGGGAGGGAUCUGGCUGCAACACGUCACCCCAGUGAUCGCCAGGGUUGAUUCGGCUGAUCUGGCUGGCUAGGCGGGUGUCCCCUUCCCCCUCUCCGCUCCGCGUGCGUCCCUCCCAGAGCUGCGCGCUUGGUGGAAGAGGCCGGCCUUCCCCGAACAGAGACGGACCUGUAGCUAUGCUCCCCCACUAGGCCCUCCAGACAAGCUCUCAAGGCCCGAGACUGCGAGGCUUCCUACAAGUGUGCAUCUGCCUCAAGAAGUGACUCUUUUUUU
rnacentral:snRNA from 1 species